rnacentral:rRNA from 1 species
ACGAACGCUGGCGGCGUGCCUAAUACAUGCAAGUCGAACGCUUCUUUUUCCAUCGGAGCUUGCUCCACCGGAAAAAGAGGAGUGGCGAACGGGUGAGUAACACGUGGGUAACCUGCCCAUCAGAAGGGGAUAACACUUGGAAACAGGUGCUAAUACCGUAUAACAAUCGAAACCGCAUGGUUUUGAUUUGAAAGGCGCUUUCGGGUGUCGCUGAUGGAUGGACCCGCGGUGCAUUAGCUAGUUGGUGAGGUAACGGCUCACCAAGGCGACGAUGCAUAGCCGACCUGAGAGGGUGAUCGGCCACAUUGGGACUGAGACACGGCCCAAACUCCUACGGGAGGCAGCAGUAGGGAAUCUUCGGCAAUGGACGAAAGUCUGACCGAGCAACGCCGCGUGAGUGAAGAAGGUUUUCGGAUCGUAAAACUCUGUUGUUAGAGAAGAACAAGGAUGAGAGUAACUGUUCAUCCCUUGACGGUAUCUAACCAGAAAGCCACGGCUAACUACGUGCCAGCAGCCGCGGUAAUACGUAGGUGGCAAGCGUUGUCCGGAUUUAUUGGGCGUAAAGCGAGCGCAGGCGGUUUCUUAAGUCUGAUGUGAAAGCCCCCGGCUCAACCGGGGAGGGUCAUUGGAAACUGGGAGACUUGAGUGCAGAAGAGGAGAGUGGAAUUCCAUGUGUAGCGGUGAAAUGCGUAGAUAUAUGGAGGAACACCAGUGGCGAAGGCGGCUCUCUGGUCUGUAACUGACGCUGAGGCUCGAAAGCGUGGGGAGCAAACAGGAUUAGAUACCCUGGUAGUCCACGCCGUAAACGAUGAGUGCUAAGUGUUGGAGGGUUUCCGCCCUUCAGUGCUGCAGCUAACGCAUUAAGCACUCCGCCUGGGGAGUACGACCGCAAGGUUGAAACUCAAAGGAAUUGACGGGGGCCCGCACAAGCGGUGGAGCAUGUGGUUUAAUUCGAAGCAACGCGAAGAACCUUACCAGGUCUUGACAUCCUUUGACCACUCUAGAGAUAGAGCUUCCCCUUCGGGGGCAAAGUGACAGGUGGUGCAUGGUUGUCGUCAGCUCGUGUCGUGAGAUGUUGGGUUAAGUCCCGCAACGAGCGCAACCCUUAUUGUUAGUUGCCAUCAUUUAGUUGGGCACUCUAGCAAGACUGCCGGUGACAAACCGGAGGAAGGUGGGGAUGACGUCAAAUCAUCAUGCCCCUUAUGACCUGGGCUACACACGUGCUACAAUGGGAAGUACAACGAGUCGCAAAGUCGCGAGGCUAAGCUAAUCUCUUAAAGCUUCUCUCAGUUCGGAUUGUAGGCUGCAACUCGCCUACAUGAAGUCGGAAUCGCUAGUAAUCGCGAAUCAGCAUGUCGCGGUGAAUACGUUCCCGGGCCUUGUACACACCGCCCGUCACACCACGAGAGUUUGUAACACCCGAAGUCGGUGAGGUAACCUUUUGGAGCCAGCCGCCUAAGGUGGGAUAGAUGAUUGGGGUG